CCGAUGUUGAAAAUGGCACAGAUGUGGUCUAAGCUUUAAGUAAUUAAGAAGCCAAAAGCAUACAUUGUUUUGUUCACACUCAUUAAUUGUAUAUUCAGAAAGAAAUUGUAGUACAAGAUAAUGUAAAAAAAAAAAAAAAUCCAUGUUCACACUCAUUAAUUGUAUAUUCAGAAAGAAAUUGUAGUACAAGAUAAUGUAAAAAAAAAAAAAAAUCCAUUGCCUUAUCAGGAAUGUACUAGGAAUUUUGCAUUUUUUUUCUAGCUGAAGACAAACUACAUAAUAUGUAAGAGAUUUGAGUACUGCUUUAUCAAAUACCUAUGCAAGAUAUUCAAAUGUGGUAAAAUUGCAAUUACAGGUCAAAAAGACAAAGACUUGCUGAAAUAAAUAUUUAAUAAUUUAUUUACAGGCAAGCCAUAACCAACGAGUAUGACCUAUUUCAUCAAUAGUUUCUUACAGAAAAUGAAGUGAGUGUGAUGGGCACUGCUGAAGAAGUAAUCAAACAGAAGAUUUUCAAAACUUUUAUCUGCCGUAAACAUCCUUCUAUCAUUCCACUCAGGUUCAGUGGUACAUGUGAAGUUUAGCCGGGCGCGGUGGCUCAAGCCUGUAAUCUCAGCACUUUGGGAGGCCGAGACGGGCAGAUCACAAGGUCAGGAGAUGGAGCCCAUCCUGGCUCACAAGGUGAAACCCCGUUUCUACUAAAAAAAUACAAAAAACUAGCUGGGCGAGGUGGCGUGCGCCUGUAGUCCCAGCUACUUGGGAGGCUGAGGCAGGAGAAUGGUGUGAACCCGGGAGACAGAGCUUGCACUGAGCUGAGAUCCCACCACAGCACUCCAGCCUGGGUGACAGAGCAAGACUCGUCUCAAAAAAAAAAACAAAAAAAAAAACAAAAAAGAAGUUUUCUUAUAUAGGUAAGUUCCUGGCCUAAGGGUUUGUUGUACAGAUUAUUUCAUCAACCAGGUGUUAAGCCUAGUACUCAACAGUUAUUUUGUUUAUUUAUUUAUUUUUGCUCCUCUCUUUCCUCCCCACCUCCACCUUCAGGAAAAACUGAAAAAGAAUUCAAAAUGGUAUUUUUAUAUUUGACUAUAUAAAAAUUUAAAAUAGCUGUAUGAUAAAAUCAUUAAGAAACUUUAAAGGCAAAUUUUAAAACUUGAAAAAUAAAUGCUUCUCAUUAUACCUCAC
rnacentral:lncRNA from 1 species